rnacentral:rRNA from 1 species
UGCAGUCGAUCGCUCUUUUCGGAGAGAGAGGCGCACGGGUGAGUAACACGUGGGAAUAUACCCUUGAGUACGGAAUAACUAUUGGAAACGAUAGCUAAUACCGUAUACGCCCUACGGGGGAAAGAUUUAUCGCUCAAGGAUUAGCCCGCGUCUGAUUAGCUAGUUGGUGAGGUAAUGGCUCACCAAGGCGACGAUCAGUAGCUGGUUUGAGAGAAUGAUCAGCCACACUGGGACUGAGACACGGCCCAGACUCCUACGGGAGGCAGCAGUGGGGAAUAUUGGACAAUGGGCGCAAGCCUGAUCCAGCCAUGCCGCGUGAGUGAAGAAGGCCUUCGGGUUGUAAAGCUCUUUCAGACGUGAAGAUGAUGACGGUAACGUCAGAAGAAGCCCCGGCUAACUUCGUGCCAGCAGCCGCGGUAAUACGAAGGGGGCAAGCGUUGUUCGGAAUUACUGGGCGUAAAGCGCGCGUAGGCGGCGUCGUCAGUCAGAGGUGAAAUCCCAGGGCUCAACCUUGGAAUUGCCUUUGAUACUGCGAUGCUUGAGUUCGAGAGAGGGUGGCGGAAUACCCAGUGUAGAGGUGAAAUUCGUAGAUAUUGGGUAGAACACCAGUGGCGAAGGCGGCCAC